rnacentral:rRNA from 1 species
AUGCGUCCCCCGCUCCUCCCCCGCGUCGCCUCCGCCGCCUCCGCCACGCCUCCUCGCCGCCAGCGCACCGUCAGGCCGCCGAUGCCGCCCUCCCCUGCCCUCCUCUCCUCCACCCCACCGCCGGCCGCACCCACAGAAACCCCCAAGCCCGAGACCACCCACCAGCACCCUCCCCCCGCCCGCCGCCGCCUACCCCUCGCCGACGAGGAGUGGCACCCGCUCCCCCUCUCCCUCGCCGAGCUCUCCCUCCCGCUCACCCUCCCCACCGGCCAGACCUUCCUCUGGCGCCGCACCUCGCUCUCCCCGCUCCGAUUCACCGCUGCCGUGGGCCCGCACCUCGUCUCCCUCUCCCACCUCCCCGACGACGACCGCCUCGCCUUCCUCCUCCACAACGGCGACCCCGCCUCCCCCUCCGUAGCCACCGCCCGGGCCGCGCUGUGCGACUAUCUGAACGCGGCCGUCCCCCUCGCCGACCUCUGGGUCCGGUUCACCGCCGCCGAUGCGCGCUUCGCGGAGGUCGCGGCACGGCUCGGCGGCGGUGGCGCACGGGUGCUCAGGCAGGACCCGGUCGAGUGUCUGUUCCAGUUCCUCUGCUCCUCCAACAACAACAUCGCGCGGAUCGAGAAGAUGGUCUGGACGCUGGCCGGAUACGGAGAGCGGCUCGGAGAGGUCGGCGGCUUCGUCUUCCACCGGUUCCCCACUGUCGAGCGGCUCGCGCAGGUGUCAGAGCAGGAGCUUCGGGAGGCUGGGUUUGGGUACAGGGCAAAGUAUGUUGUUGGCACUGCUAAAGAAUUGAUGGCCAAGCCUGGUGGAGGCGCAAAAUGGCUUGCCUUGCUGCGUGACAGGGAACUUCCAGAGGUAAUUGAGGGUCUUUGUACGCUGCCAGGUGUUGGUCCAAAAGUUGCAGCCUGCAUUGCUCUGUUCUCUCUUGAUAAGAAUCAGGCUAUUCCUGUCGACACACAUGUCUGGAAGGUUGCUACACAAUAUAUGUUGCCUGAGCUAGCUGGCAAGAGCCUGACUCCAAAACUGAGCAUUGUUGUUGCCGAUGCAUUUGUAGCCAAAUUUGGCGAGUAUGCUGGUUGGGCGCAGAAUGUUCUCUUUAUUGGCCAGCUACCUGCUAAAAAACUUGUGGCCACCGAAGUUACCAGUGACACUGCGAAACCUACCAAGAGGAAACGUGCGACGAAGAUGGUUGAAAUACAGGCAUGA